CACCUGAUAGCACAUGGUGUGCACCUGCUUCUAUUGAAUGGGCAUUGAGAGUUGAAGCAGGAGGUCCUCGUUCGAUUCGGGGUCGGGUGA